GGAUUAGAUACCCUGGUAGUCCACGCCGUAAACGAUGUCGACUAGCCGUUGGAGUCCUUGAGGCUUUAGUGGCGCAGCUAACGCGAUAAGUACACCGCCUGGGGAGUACGGUCGCAAGGCUAAAACUCAAAGGAAUUGACGGGGGCUCACACAAGCGGUGGAGCAUGUGGCUUAAUUCGAAACAACGCGAAGAACCUUAUCCAGGGCUUGACAUCCACGGAUUAGCUUCCCGAAAAGGAAGUGACGAGUUUUACUUGGAACGUGGACAGGUGCUGCAUGGCUGUCGUCAGCUCGUGCCG
rnacentral:rRNA from 1 species